rnacentral:rRNA from 1 species
AAUAGAUACCCCGGUAGUCCACGCCGUAAACGAUGUCGACUUGGAGGUUGUUCCCUUGAGGAGUGGCUUCCGGAGCUAACGCGUUAAGUCGACCGCCUGGGGAGUACGGCCGCAAGGUUAAAACUCAAAUGAAUUGACGGGGGGCCCGCACAAGCGGUGGAGCAUGUGGUUUAAUUCGAUGCAACGCGAAGAACCUUACCUACUCUUGACAUCCAGAGAACUUAGCAGAGAUGCUUUGGUGCCUUCGGGAACUCUGAGACAGGUGCUGCAUGGCUGUCGUCAGCUCGUGUUGUGAAAUGUUGGGUUAAGUCCCGCAACGAGCGCAACCCUUAUCCUUUGUUGCCAGCGGUCCGGCCGGGAACUCAAAGGAGACUGCCAGUGAUAAACUGGAGGAAGGUGGGGAUGACGUCAAGUCAUCAUGGCCCUUACGAGUAGGGCUACACACGUGCUACAAUGGCGUAUACAAAGAGAAGCGACCUCGCGAGAGCAAGCGGACCUCAUAAAGUACGUCGUAGUCCGGAUUGGAGU